UGGGGAAUUUUGGACAAUGGGCGAAAGCCUGAUCCAGCCAUGCCGCGUGAGUGAAGAAGGCCUUCGGGUUGUAAAGCUCUUUUAGUCGGAAAGAAAGAGUUGCAAUGAAUAAUUGUGAUUUAUGACGGUACCGACAGAAAAAGCACCGGCUAACUACGUGCCAGCAGCCGCGGUAAUACGUAGGGUGCGAGCGUUAAUCGGAAUUACUGGGCGUAAAGGGUGCGCAGGCGGUCUUGCAAGUCAGAUGUGAAAGCCCCGGGCUUAACCUGGGAAUUGCGUUUGAAACUACAAGGCUAGAGUGCAGCAGAGGGGAGUGGAAUUCCAUGUGUAGCAGUGAAAUGCGUAGAGAUGUGGAAGAACACCGAUGGCGAAGGCAGCCCCCUGGGUUAACACUGACGCUCAUGCACGAAAGCGUGGGGAGCAAACA
rnacentral:rRNA from 1 species